GAUGAACGCUGGCGGCGUGCCUAAUACAUGCAAGUCGAGCGCGAGAAUGAGGAGCUUGCUCCUCAUGAUCGAGCGGCGGACGGGUGAGUAACACGUAGGCAACCUACCCUUGAGAUUGGGAUAACUACCGGAAACGGUAGCUAAUACCGGAUACGACUUUUCCACACAAGUGGAAUUGUUAAAAGGCGGAUUUAUCUGCCGCUCAUGGAUGGGCCUGCGGUGCAUUAGCUAGUUGGUGAGGUGGUGGCUCACCAAGGCGACGAUUCAUAGCCGACCUGAGAGGGUGAGCGGCCACCCUGGGACUGAGACACGGCCCAGACUCCUACGGGAGGCAGCGGUAGGGAAUCUUCCGCAAUGGACGCAAGUCUGACGGAGCAACGCCGCGUGAGUGACGAAGGGUUUCGGCUCGUAAAACUCUGUUGUUAAGGAAGAACACUUGAGGUAGUAACUGGCCUUGAGAUGACGGUACUUAACCAGAAAGCCACGGCUAACUACGUGCCAGCAGCCGCCGUAA
rnacentral:rRNA from 1 species